GCCUAUGACCAUACUACCCUGAACACAUCUGAUCUCAUCUGAUCUCAAAAACUAAGCUUGGCCUGACCUUGUUAGUCUUCUGUCGUGCUGUCUGGCU
rnacentral:rRNA from 1 species